GCCCAGGCUCACGUCUGCUUCGGUUUUGGCGUGGGGACUUCCCGUGGCUCCCAGGCUGCCUCUCCAAGCUUUCUGGCCUCUGCCAGACCACUUUCCUGGCCUGACCUGAUGGGGGCUGAAGCUCGGCACUGAUUUCUGAAGGCAGGGGAAUCUGCCGAAUCAUCCAAGUCCAUCUGGGUCUUGUGGCCACCUAGGGUCUCCAGCACCCCCAGGUGUCCAUGAUGGCCCCCUCCACAGGGGAGAAGUUCCAGCCCUGGGUUUUCAUCUCACUUCUCUGGCCUCUUCCCGUGUUAGAAAAUCCCAGUGACCUCUCCAUCCCCCAUGGUUCUCUUGGGCUUCCUGAGGACUAUUCUGAUGAGGCCCCCACCCCACCCGCCUUCCGUCUUCCCUGGGGGUCACCUGCCAUUACCUCCCUCCCAGGCAGCAAGGCCCUGGGCCAAUGGCCCCUGAGAAAGAUAGGGCAUGGCAAAGACUCUGGACUACAAUUCCCACAAAUCCCUGGGGCUCCACCAUAGCUAACCCUUGGCUUCUCGGAUGUGGUUCCCGGUGACCAGGCCAAUCUCAUCGUUGACUCCUCUGGCCAGUUCUCCUGUCCAGCCUCUCUCCACAGGCCUGGGCUCUGGGUCCAGCGUCAUGCCCCGACCGCCACUGCCCGUAGUGGCACGGCCGGCUUUGUUGUUGUGCUUAUUAUCAUCGAAGGAAAAACU